rnacentral:rRNA from 1 species
AUUGAACGCUGGCGGCAGGCCUAACACAUGCAAGUCGAACGAGUGGCGGACGGGUGACUAAUGUCUGGGAAAGUGCCUGGUGGAGGGGGAUAACUAAUGGAAACGGUAGCUAAUACCGCAUACCAUCAGAUGUGCCCAGAUGGGAUGAGCUAGUUGGGGGGGUAACGGCUCACCAAGGCGACGCGCCCUAGCUGGUCUGAGAGGAUGACCAGCCAAACUGGAACGGAGACACGGUCCAGACUCCUACGGGAGGCAGCAGUGGGGAAUAUUGCACAAUGGGCGCAAGCCUGAUGCAGCCAUGCCGCGUGUAUGAAGAAGGCCUUCGGGUUGUAAAGUACUUUCAGCGGGGAGGCGUUACCCGCAGAAGAAGCACCGGCUAACUCCGUGCCAGCCGCCGCGGUAAUAC